rnacentral:rRNA from 1 species
CCUACGGGCGGCAGCAGUGGGGAAUAUUGGACAAUGGGCGAAAGCCUGAUCCAGCCAUGCCGCGUGUGUGAAGAAGGCCUUCGGGUUGUAAAGCACUUUCAGUGGGGAAGAAAGCCUUGGGGCUAAUACCCUCGAGGAAGGACAUCACCCACAGAAGAAGCACCGGCUAACUCCGUGCCAGCAGCCGCGGUAAUACGGAGGGUGCGAGCGUUAAUCGGAAUUACUGGGCGUAAAGCGCGCGUAGGCGGUCUGAUAAGCCGGUUGUGAAAGCCCCGGGCUCAACCUGGGAACGGCAUCCGGAACUGUCAGGCUAGAGUGCAGGAGAGGAAGGUAGAAUUCCCGGUGUAGCGGUGAAAUGCGUAGAGAUCGGGAGGAAUACCAGUGGCGAAGGCGGCCUUCUGGACUGACACUGACGCUGAGGUGCGAAAGCGUGGGUAGCAAACAGGAUUAGAUACCCGAGCAGUC